AGUUAUCGUUCCUGUAAAAAUUAUGUCGAACGCGUAAUUCCUAAUUACUCCAGACUGGUGUUUAAAGAACACUUUCGAAUAUUCCCCGAAACUUUUUAGAUGGAUAGAUAUUAUCUUUAGUUGGCAAAGGAUUAUAAGCAAUGAGUGAUCGAAAACAAAUUUCUGCAGAGAAACAAUUACUUAUUGCGAUUUGGUUUAUGGCAACUUCUGAUUCCUAUAGAUAUUGGUAUGUGUAAAAUUUGGAAUCGGUAAAGCCACUGCUGUUCGAGCUUUGAGGCAAGUUCACUUGUUCUUCAUUGCAUCGCACCUCGUUUCAUCAAAUGACCGCAAGGCGAUACUGCCAUACAAGUAAUUGAACAAUUUAAAACAAAAUGUGGCUUUCCAAAUGUAAUAGGCGCUAUUGAUGGGACGCAUAUUAAAAUCCGAGCACCAGUAGAGGAUGCUUCGUACAUCAAUCGAAAAGAAUUUUCAUCUAUAAAUGUACAAGUUGUAUGUGAUUCUCUGUGGCCUUUUCACACACUGCUACACAGGACAAGUAGGCUCCGUACAUGAUGCUAGAAAUUCUCUAGUGCAUAGUGGCACAUUUUUUGAACAUACUAAAUGUUUAUUUUCCAAAUAACUCCCACAUUAUUGGCGAUACUACUUAUGGUAUUCAUCAUCAUGUGAUGGUACCAUUUAGAAACCACGGACGUCUUUCACUCAGACAAUAAAAUUUUAUAAUAAUUAUUGUUAUUCGGCUACCAGAAUGGAAAUAGAAUGAGUUAUUGAGUUACUGAAAAUACGAUUCAGAAUUUUAUUGGAUUGUCUGCCUUUAAGAUGUAAAGAAGGUACUGAAGUUCAUCAUUGCAUGCUAUGUUCUACAUAAUAUUUGUAUUUUGAAAAAUGACGUAAUGCCAAUUACAGUAUGCGUUAUAAAUGAGGAAAUCGGACCAAUUAAUCGUGGUGAUAUAGCUGUAAUGGGAAAUGAAAAAAGAAUAGUAAUUAUGAACACUUUAA